rnacentral:rRNA from 1 species
UACGUAGGGUGCAAGCGUUACUCGGAAUGACUGGGCGUAAAGCGUGCGCAGGCGGCUUUGCAAGACAGAUGUGAAAUCCCCGGGCUUAACCUGGGAACUGCAUUUGUGACUGCAUGGCUGGAGUGCGGCAGAGGGGGAUGGAAUUCCGCGUGUAGCAGUGAAAUGCGUAGAUAUGCGGAGGAACACCGAUGGCGAAGGCAAUCCCCUGGGCCUGCACUGACGCUCAUGCACGAAAGCGUGGGGAGCAAACAGG